rnacentral:rRNA from 1 species
GUGCCUAAUACAUGCAAGUAGAACGCUGACUACUUUAGCUUGCUAGAGUAGAAGGAGUUGCGAACGGGUGAGUAACGCGUAGGUAACCUGCCUACUAGCGGGGGAUAACUAUUGGAAACGAUAGCUAAUACCGCAUAACAGUGUUUAACACAUGUUAGAUGCUUGAAAGAUGCAAAUGCAUCACUAGUAGAUGGACCUGCGUUGUAUUAGCUAGUUGGUGGGGUAACGGCCUACCAAGGCGACGAUACAUAGCCGACCUGAGAGGGUGAUCGGCCACACUGGGACUGAGACACGGCCCAGACUCCUACGGGAGGCAGCAGUAGGGAAUCUUCGGCAAUGGGGGCAACCCUGACCGAGCAACGCCGCGUGAGUGAAGAAGGUUUUCGGAUCGUAAAGCUCUGUUGUAAGAGAAGAACGUGUGUGAGAGUGGAAAGUUCACACAGUGACGGUAACUUACCAGAAAGGGACGGCUAACUACGUGCCAGCAGCCGCGGUAAUACGUAGGUCCCGAGCGUUGUCCGGAUUUAUUGGGCGUAAAGCGAGCGCAGGCGGUUUAAUAAGUCUGAAGUUAAAGGCAGUGGCUUAACCAUUGUUCGCUUUGGAAACUGUUAAACUUGAGUGCAGAAGGGGAGAGUGGAAUUCCAUGUGUAGCGGUGAAAUGCGUAGAUAUAUGGAGGAACACCGGUGGCGAAAGCGGCUCUCUGGUCUGUAACUGACGCUGAGGCUCGAAAGCGUGGGGAGCAA